UUUAUGGAGAGUUUGAUCCUGGCUCAGAGUGAACGCUGGCGGCGUGCCUAAUACAUGCAAGUCGAACGAUGAAGCUUCUAGCUUGCUAGAAGUGGAUUAGUGGCGCACGGGUGAGUAACGCAUAGGUCAUGUGCCUCUUAGUUUGGGAUAGCCAUUGGAAACGAUGAUUAAUACCAGAUACUCCCUACGGGGGAAAGAUUUAUCGCUAAGAGAUCAGCCUAUGUCCUAUCAGCUUGUUGGUAAGGUAAUGGCUUACCAAGGCUAUGACGGGUAUCCGGCCUGAGAGGGUGAACGGACACACUGGAACUGAGACACGGUCCAGACUCCUACGGGAGGCAGCAGUAGGGAAUAUUGCUCAAUGGGGGAAACCCUGAAGCAGCAACGCCGCGUGGAGGAUGAAGGUUUUAGGAUUGUAAACUCCUUUUGUUAGAGAAGAUAAUGACGGUAUCUAACGAAUAAGCACCGGCUAACUCCGUGCCAGCAGCCGCGGUAAUACGGAGGGUGCAAGCGUUACUCGGAAUCACUGGGCGUAAAGAGCGCGUAGGCGGGAUAGUCAGUCAGGUGUGAAAUCCUAUGGCUUAACCAUAGAACUGCAUUUGAAACUACUAUUCUAGAGUGUGGGAGAGGUAGGUGGAAUUCUUGGUGUAGGGGUAAAAUCCGUAGAGAUCAAGAGGAAUACUCAUUGCGAAGGCGACCUGCUGGAACAUUACUGACGCUGAUUGCGCGAAAGCGUGGGGAGCAAACAGGAUUAGAUACCCUGGUAGUCCACGCCCUAAACGAUGGAUGCUAGUUGUUGGAGGGCUUAGUCUCUCCAGUAAUGCAGCUAACGCAUUAAGCAUCCCGCCUGGGGAGUACGGUCGCAAGAUUAAAACUCAAAGGAAUAGACGGGGACCCGCACAAGCGGUGGAGCAUGUGGUUUAAUUCGAAGAUACACGAAGAACCUUACCUAGGCUUGACAUUGAGAGAAUCCGCUAGAAAUAGUGGAAUGUCUAGCUUGCUAGACCUUGAAAACAGGUGCUGCACGGCUGUCGUCAGCUCGUGUCGUGAGAUGUUGGGUUAAGUCCCGCAACGAGCGCAACCCCCUUUCUUAGUUGCUAACAGGUCAUGCUGAGAACUCUAAGGAUACUGCCUCCGUAAGGAGGAGGAAGGUGGGGACGACGUCAAGUCAUCAUGGCCCUUACGCCUAGGGCUACACACGUGCUACAAUGGGGUGCACAAAGAGAAGCAAUACUGCGAAGUGGAGCCAAUCUUCAAAACGCCUCUCAGUUCGGAUUGUAGGCUGCAACUCGCCUGCAUGAAGCUGGAAUCGCUAGUAAUCGCAAAUCAGCCAUGUUGCGGUGAAUACGUUCCCGGGUCUUGUACUCACCGCCCGUCACACCAUGGGAGUUGUGUUUGCCUUAAGUCAGGAUGCUAAAUUGGCUACUGCCCACGGCACACACAGCGACUGGGGUGAAGUCGUAACAAGGUAACCGUAGGUGAACCUGCGGUUGGAUCACCUCCUUUCUA
rnacentral:rRNA from 1 species